rnacentral:rRNA from 1 species
AUGUCGAUGACCACGUCCUGUGGGCUAUGUGGGGCAGAGGAUUCAUGGCAACACUCGCUUCUCCACUGUAGUGCGGCACGGUGUGUUUGGGCCCUGCAAGAUCAUGAUCUUGUUGAAGCUCUUAACAGCUCCAAUGAACCUGAUGCAAAGAGAUGGAUCUUCGAACUAAUGGAGAUGUUGUCCUCAACGGAAUUCACCCAAGUAGUGGUGACCAUAUGGGCGAUUUGGUUUGCCAGAAGGCAAGGUCGGACUGCUCCUGCCCGCCAGCCACUCGGACGUACUCGAUGGAUUCCUCCAACCGUCGGCAUUGCAAAACUGAGAGUGGAUGGAGCUGUAUCAAGAGACCAAGGCGAUGGGUCGGUUAGUGCAAUUUGCAGAAACUCAGAUGGCAUGUUUCUUGGAGCUUCGGUCAUUAAAUUCAGAUGAAUCUCGGACCCAGCAACAUUAGAGGCUCUAGCUUGCCGUGAAGAACUAGCGGUAGCAGCGGAUCUCCAUCUAACUCAUGUUGUUGUUGCUUCUGAUUGCCAAGGUGUAGUUCGAGACAUCGCGAACCACACGGGUGGGGAGUACGCAAGCAUACACUACAAAAAAAAGACACAUCCGUGA